GACAGAGGUCCCGAGCGUUAGGCGGAAUCACUGGGCUUAAAGCGUGUGUAGGCGGAUUUGUAAGUACCUUGUGAAAUCCCACGGCUCAACCGUGGAACUGCUUGGUAUACUGCUUAUCUUGGGCCAUCUAGGGGCGAGCGGAACAAACGGUGGGGCGGUGAAAUGCGUAGAUAUCGUUUGGAACGCCAAUGGUGAAAACAGCUCGCUGGGGAUGUGCCGACGCUGAGACACGAAAGCCAGGGGAGCGAACGGG
rnacentral:rRNA from 1 species